rnacentral:rRNA from 1 species
UACAGAGGUCCCGAGCGUUGUUCGGAUUCACUGGGCGUAAAGGGUGCGUAGGUGGUGAGGUAAGUCGGAUGUGAAAUCUCCGGGCUUAACCCGGAAACUGCAUUGGAAACUACCUUGCUAGAGGUUUUGAGGGGGGACUGGAAUUCUCGGUGUAGCAGUGAAAUGCGUAGAUAUCGAGAGGAACACCGGUGGCGAAGGCGAGUCCCUGGAAAACACCUGACACUGAGGCACGAAAGCUAGGGGAGCAAACAGGA